rnacentral:tRNA from 1 species
UCCCAGAUGGUCCAGUGGUUGGGACUCUGCUUCCACUGCAUGGGGCACAGGUUCAAUUCCUGGUCAGGGAA